CCCUUAGAUGUUCUGGGUCGCACGCGCGCUACAAUGGUCUUCGCAAACGGAUGCAUUCUCGAAGGAGAAUGCCAAUCUUGGAAUCUAUGCCUUGGUCGGGACAGUUGCUUGCAAUUUUUCGACUCGAACCAGGAAUUCCUUGUAAUCGUGAUUCAUCACAUCACGAUGAAUACGUCCCUGCCCUUUGUACACACCGCCCGUCGCUCCUACCGAUCGAAGAGUUAGGUGAAUUGUUUUGAUCGAUAAGAUUUGACUAUGGUCAACUCUCGUUGUGAAAUUCUGUGAAUCUGACUGUUUAGAGGAAGGAAAAGUCGUAACA
rnacentral:rRNA from 1 species